AACGCAUCUUGCGCCCUUUGGUAUUCCGAAGGGCAUGCCUGUUUGAGUGUCAUGAAAAUCUCAUCCCAUCGGGUUUCCGAUGAUGAUGGACUUGGGUGUUGCCAUCUUGGUGGCUCGCCUUAAAAGUGUUAGUGGUCCCGAGAGGGGAUCUGGCGUAAUAAGUUUCGUCGGAGAAUCUCAAAGGCUGCUGACAACCCCUUGUCUUUUUCGAAAGACAUCUUUUUUUUGCUCUGACCUCAAAUCAGGUAGGACUACCCGCUGAACUUAA
rnacentral:misc_RNA from 1 species